GCGUAGCUCAACUGGUCAGAGCACCGGGAAACACCCGGUUGUUGCCGGUUCGAAUCCGGCCGCACCCA
rnacentral:tRNA from 1 species